rnacentral:rRNA from 1 species
GAUGAACGCUGGCGGCGUGCCUAAUACAUGCAAGUCGAGCGAACAGACGAGGAGCUUGCUCCUCUGACGUUAGCGGCGGACGGGUGAGUAACACGUGGAUAACCUACCUAUAAGACUGGGAUAACUUCGGGAAACCGGAGCUAAUACCGGAUAAUAUAUUGAACCGCAUGGUUCAAUAGUGAAAGACGGUUUUGCUGUCACUUAUAGAUGGAUCCGCGCCGCAUUAGCUAGUUGGUAAGGUAACGGCUUACCAAGGCAACGAUGCGUAGCCGACCUGAGAGGGUGAUCGGCCACACUGGAACUGAGACACGGUCCAGACUCCUACGGGAGGCAGCAGUAGGGAAUCUUCCGCAAGGGGCGAAAGCCUGACGGAGCAACGCCGCGUGAGUGAUGAAGGUCUUCGGAUCGUAAAACUCUGUUAUUAGGGAAGAACAAAUGUGUAAGUAACGAUGCACGUCUUGACGGUACCUAAUCAGAAAGCCACGGCUAACUACGU